UUAAGCUUCCUACGGGAGGCUGCAGUGGGGAAUCUUAGACAAUGUUGGGAAACCCUGAUCUAGCCAUGCCGCGUGAUCGAUGAAGGCCUUAGGGUUGUAAAGAUCUUUCAGGUGGGAAGAUAAUGACUGUACCACCAGAAGAAGCCCCGGCUAACUCCGUGCCAGCAGCCGCGGUAAUACGGAGGGGGCUAGCGUUGUUCGGAAUUACUGGGCGUAAAGCGCACGUAGGCGGAUCAGAAAGUCAGAGGUGAAAUCCCAGGGCUCAACCUUGGAACUGCCUUUGAAACUCCUGAUCUUGAGGUCGAGAGAGGUGAGUGGAAUUCCGAGUGUAGAGGUGAAAUUCGUAGAUAUUCGGAGGAACACCAGUGGCGAAGGCGGCUCACUGGCUCGAUACUGACGCUGAGGUGCGAAAGCGUGGGGAGCAAACAGGAUUAGAUACCCUUG
rnacentral:rRNA from 1 species